rnacentral:rRNA from 1 species
AUUGAACGCUGGCGGCAUGCCUUACACAUGCAAGUCGAACGGUAACGGGCCUUCGGGUGCCGACGAGUGGCGAACGGGUGGGUAAUACAUCGGAACGUGCCCGAUCGUGGGGGAUAACGAGGCGAAAGCUUUGCUAAUACCGCAUACGAUCUACGGAUGAAAGCAGGGGACCGCAAGGCCUUGCGCGGACGGAGCGGCCGAUGGCAGAUUAGGUAGUUGGUGGGAUAAAAGCUUACCAAGCCGACGAUCUGUAGCUGGUCUGAGAGGAUGAUCAGCCACACUGGGACUGAGAAACGGCCCAGACUCCUACGGGAGGCAGCAGUGGGGAAUUUUGGACAAUGGGCGCAAGCCUGAUCCAGCCAUGCCGCGUGCAGGAUGAAGGCCUUCGGGUUGUAAACUGCUUUUGUACGGAACGAAAAGCCUUCUUUUAAUACAGGAGGGUCAUGACGGUAACGUAAGAAUAAGCACCGGCUAACUACGUG